rnacentral:lncRNA from 1 species
UCCACAAAAAAAAAAGUCGAAUAAUUAAUGAAAUCAGUACUUUGUAUUUUCCAAGGAAGCUGUGCCGCUGUCCAGUUGUCAUCAUGUCGACAUCCCUGUCUAGAGUAAUCUUCACUGCUGUUCUUAAAUGAUAUGAUGCUACAGAUGCCGCAGCUGCAAAGAAGGAAGCUCUGGUUUCUUUCCCACCAAAUCCACCACCAAUGCGCUUUGUCUUGCAAACGACUUUCGAUAAUGGUAGAUCAAGAACAUUGGCAGCAUACUCCUGGUUCUUUUGAGGUGCCUGAGCACCAAGAAGAAGGGUUGUGAAACAUUAGACCAAUUUAAGAUCCGUAAAUAAAUUUAUUAAAUUUACAAGCGGCAUGAGAAUUAAGUAAAUUUAUUGCAAGAAACUUGCCUCAGGGAAAUGAACGCUAUUUAAUUUAUUGAUAUCAUCUUACAAUAAAAGUUCACUAGAAAUUUUCAGUGACACUUGGAAAUAAAUCAACAUUGCUUUGAUCAAAUAUGAUUUCACCAAACAACCAAAACUAGAUCCAUGUGUGACUAGGUACCCAGCUGAAGUCAUAAUAGUUUUCUUUUAAGUUUGAUCUCAUAAGAAAAAAGGAUUUCUCAGAAGUUACUCCUUUGCACUUCGUUUGUACAAAGGAGUAAGUUUGAAAGAAAUUCGCUUAUCUUUUAAUUAUUCUCUUAUCAUUUAGUAAUAUAUCAUGAUUUUCGGAGAUAGGCAAGUCCUAUUAUAUCCUUGGUCAACAAAAGCAUAACAAACAGUUAAAAGGAAAUAAUAUAAAUAUAUAGAAUAAGAGCUUUCAGAAACCACCAGAAAUGGUGCAGACCAUCAAACAGCAUAGGCAUGUCGAUAUCAAAAGCAAAGUCACAUAAAGUUAUAACAAGUAUAGUCCCUGAAGUUUGACCCAGAUUCCAACUUUGUUCUUAGUUGCAAUAAAAGUAGCCCUGAAGUUUGAUUUGCUAUCAAAUUAGUCUACAAAGUUCUAUUUUUAAAAAUUUAGUUCCUACCAUCUGAACAUAAUUUCAAUUUCAUUCAUAAAGUUUUUGAGUUAACAAAGCAAAGUCUUAGUGUUUGAAUGGAACCUUUUUUGAUGAUAGAUUAACAUAAGAACAUAAAUGUUAUGCAGAACAAACUUUAGGGGUUAAUUGUUAAGAAUGAAACUAAGAGGAUGAAAUUGAAAUGAAGGUUGACUCACAGAGACUAACUUUGUAACUAACCGUAUAGCUUAUCAUAUGGAUAGAAGCAAAAAGAGUGGAACAUACUUGUGUAGAGGAGAUCAUAUGUACUUCAUUUCCAGCAUCAACUGUCCAGACCAGACUGCUCUGAGGCUCCAAGUAAAAGUGCUCUUGACCUCCAACCUGAACUUCCCCUUCUAUAAUCUUGUCGCAUGAAGACUUGAAACACCAUUCCACAUCUCCCUUUACCAAGGACCUUGCAGUGUUAGGAUGAAAACUGCCAGAAUCAACAGCUUCUCUUAUAGACAAGAUUGCUGGCAAGUCUUCAUAUUUAAUCUCCACAUUACUUGCAGCAGCUUUUGCAUUUUCAUGAGUAUCCGCCACAACAAUCCCGAUAACCUAUAAAGGAUAAUAGCAUACUAGUGCACUGAGACUUUUCAAUUCACACGGUUGUAACAGCAAAUUUUUUGCUUAAAUGGGUAACUAUACAAAUAUGAUGUAUUUGUGGGGUAUAUGUGAAAAAGCACCAAAAAAGAAGCACUGAAUAGAGGUUCAAUACCUGGCCAACACAGGUAACAACCUCUGAAGCAAAAAGUUCCUCAUCGUGAACAACUGGCCCAAGUUUAUUACUACCAGGGACAUCUUUUGCAAGAAAGAGACCAGAAAAACCAGGCGAAGAUUUGGCACGUGAAUCAUCUAUAGACAAUAUGCGUGCGUGAGCUCUUCUACUCAAUAUUAAAGCUGCAUGCAAAGUAUUCUGAGAUGUAGGUGUAUCAUCAGUGUAUUCAGCCUCACCAGUCACCUGAUAAAUUGCAAAAACAGAGAAAUCAAAUGAAUGGCAACGAUCUGCAGCACCUUGGACUAACGAAUGAAAAUAAUCAAAUAGAGAUUUUUAGCUUAUAAAUUGUAGCCAAACUACCAAAACAUGAAGCUAGUUGAAUUUUCUAUCAGAAUUACUGAGUCACAUUAGCAUUUAAAACUCUCUCUACAAGAUGCUUAUCAACAAAGAAAAGGAAUUUAAUGAUAAAAUUAAUAGACGACAAAACUGAGCUUGGUCCUUGUGUAAAUUAAAAGCAUAGAACUAUUAGAACAUCGAGUUCCCUACAAAAGGUUAUAGACAAAUAGACACAGAAAAACAAAUUACCAAUCAAUAGAGGAAAAAAAACACCAAUAAAAGAACCUUAUCUAAGAUGGGAAAACAUUGGUUACUCAAAUUUGUGUGAGAAUUUAGGAUUUUUUAAAUAGAUUUGUUGCUUUCAAUGGUGAAAGCAAUACUCGCUGGACCUAACAAUUCGUAUCAGAAAGGAUUUGCCCAAAAUACCAAAAGCUAUUAAAUGUAAAAAGCAAUUAGGUUUGCUUUCAAAAUAUCUUUAAGCCAUUACACAGUUUCUAUUUAACAUCCUAUCAAAAAGUAAUUCUAGUUGACAAUAGGGACCAUGUUGAAAUAAGUCUUAACAGAUCUUACAAAUUAAUCAUGGAGCCACCUGGUGCAUUCAACCUUUCGCAAGGCUGCCUAUUUUGACAAGAUUAAAUUGUAAGAAUACAAGUAACAAACUAAGUAAUGACGAUGUAAAUAACUAAGGGACAAAAAAUCGCAAAGUCAUAAACAGCUUAGUUACAAUCUUUUUAGUUCCCAUCAAAUGCCAACAGUACAUAUUGGCACGUGUCAACUAAUUCACCAACAGCUAAGGAAUAUAAAUUAAAAAUGGGCCAAUUUAACAUGUAAUUAAUGUCCCUGGUACCAAGAUUUAAGAAGACUUAAACAAUGCAUACAGAAGUUAAAACUACAGUGGUCGAUGCUUGCAUCAAACUUAUAGGCAUCUUCAUGAAUUUACGUUUUUUUUCAGUUUUCACUUUUCACCAGAUAGUUGAUUAGUUUAGCUGUAUGCCUGUAUGGAUAUGUGGUGUGGCAGAUUUCUGCCAUUGGCAUAUUUAAUAAAGUUACUAGCUAAGCGAUUAUUCCCUUAAAAAAAAACUAAGAUAACAUAUCCCAGAUAGUAACUUGAUUAACUUAGCAUCUGGAUGUGUGAUAUAUAAUAGCUAAAAUAACAGAUCCAGAUGCUGUCCUUAAGCAAUCCCACCAAGAUUUACCUUUUUCAAUAAACCAAAAUAUGUGAUAUACCUGUAGCUUUGAUGAGAGAUGAAUCAUUGGUAGCCCCACGGCUGUUCCAUGUCUAGCCAACUCAUAACUCUGACUUCCAAAAGAAGAAGGCCUUGAGUAGGGCUGUAUGGCUGAUAGUUGAGUGGCAUGCAAACCUUCCUUAAAGUGUCCUUCUACAUUCAUCUCAUGAGUUACCCACAUAAAAAAUUUAAAAAAGAAACUCAGUGUAAGGGACUUUCGGAAUUCAGCCAUUCCGCCUGGUGCAUUCUCCGGAAUAUUAAUGUCCUCUUUUAAUACAUUUAAAACAUCCUCUAACAAUUUCUUAUCCCAUUUCUUUCCCAUUAGAUAUUUCUCUGUUCUUGAUGAAGAGAGAGAAAGCGCGGCGACUCCUCCAUAAACAAUAGAAACAUCAGCGAUAAUCCAGUCUUCAUUUUCUGCCCUGAUAUAAGCACGCAUUCCGGCAUUUACCAAAGCAAUAUCAUCUUCCCUUCUAUGUGCUUGUUUAAACUCUUUCACAAAUUCAAAAGGUCUUGUCCAUGGUAAAAGUAUUGAGAGCAAUAUCUCAUCAUGCCGAAUAUCAACUUUGCGAUAACCAAGAAAGAAAUCUUUGGCAAAAACAGUUCUAAUAUUUCCUUCACAAUCAAUCAGUCGAAACUUCGCAUUUGAAGCCAUCCAAAGGGGGUUUAGGUCAGAUAUUGGACUAGCAGUACAAACAUUUCCACCAACAGAAGCAACAUUCCUAAUUUGUUUCCCAGCAAACCACUUCAGUUGCUCCAAAAUCGCCUUGCAAGAUGAAAUCUCAUGACUAUCUCUCUCUGCUACAACCUUUUGAAGGACUUGUUGGAGCUGUGUUAGUCUCACAGAAGCACCAAUCUCAAUGCCGUCUUCUCCCACGUUCAAUGCAUUAAGCUCCACCACAUGGGUAACACAAAUGAGCACUUGAUACUGCGCAUUUUUGAACUUUGUUUCUAUCCCUACUUCGGUGUUACCAACAACAAGUUUCGCCUCCGGAUAGCAAGACUUGAGAUAUAACACAUGCUGAAGUCUUAGAGGUCUAUACCAUUUUAAACCACCAAAACCAUGUAAACUUAGAGGCAUGAUUUUUCUCAGAAGCAGCUCAGGAGGAAAGAUAAGCUCUUUUUCAUUGUAAGAACUUCCGUCGGUUUCACUAUAGGAAAUGGGUCUAUGUUGUUUCCUGCCACAAGCUUCAGAAGAGCUUCCACACAAACAUGGUUUCCCUGUCGAAGGGCAAAUGGUUUGAUUGGUAGAGGAGCUUGCUGAUGUUGAGUUAGUAUAUAACGAAUCAUCGGUUUUAGCGAAAACACGGAAUGCAUCAAUGAUCGGCCUAUAGCCUGUACAACGACAUAAAUUUCCAGCAAGGUUUUCUUCGAUCUGCUCUUCAGUGGGAGGUUGUUUGUUUGAUCUCAAUAGUGCAUACAUAGACAUUAUGAAACCAGGAGUGCAAAAUCCACAUUGUGAACCAUGAGCCUGAGCUAGAGAUUCCUGCAUUAAAUGUGAUAAAUUUAGUUCCAAACACAAAUAUCGAAAGAAAACACUUUAUACUAAAAGCCAACAGGUGAUUAAAAUUAGUGGAAAUCAGUAUUAGAGACUGCUGACAAACACCUUGAAGUUUUCCGUCAAGAAUAAAAGGAGUACUGAUCUCAAGAUUAAUGAAAUCAGGAUAGAAAGGAUCAAAUAUUUAAUAUUAGGAUUUGUUGAUGCUCCCAAAUAAGAAAUUCACUAAGUCUUCAAGUUUGAACAAUUUAUUCGGUACAACAUGUGAGGCGUGGGGAUUUCUAUUGUGACUACAACCUAGGAGUUUAAUUGAGCUACUUUGAAACCUUAAUAAUUUCAACUUUUCAGGAUGCACCGCACGCUCCGCCAACGAGGAGAUUUAUCAAUUAUCACAUGCAGAGAAAACAAUUUAUAGGCUGUUCGUAUUACAUGGUUGUAGACAUCUUCACUGAGUUUAUUUUGUGCAGAUUAGAGGUCAGAUAUGAAACCUUCGAAGUGCAAAGAUAGUAACAGAAGCAAAUUCAACUAUGAAAGAAGCAAAAUUCUGAUAGGAAGUGGAUUUGUCAUUGGUAUUAACCAUCUAUAGUUUAACAAGUAAUAACUAUAAGUUGUUGGAUAUAACUACAAAGAGAUGAUGGAUUCAAAGGAACACUAAGAAUAUUGUCCCAAGCUAUAAGCUAAAGUAAAGAGCACUGCAAAAUGUUGAGCCACUAUUUCAGAGCAUAAGGUAGAAAUGGUAUAUAAUAUACAAAUAAGGAAAGAGUAAAUGACGGAUUAACCAGCAAGAAAAUUUCUCCCCGCAAAAAGGCUUGGAAACCAUAUAUUUCUUACUGCCAUUAAUUAGUAUAUAUUAUGGAAUAAAUAAUGUCUUCAUCAAACGAAUUCAUAAGAAUAAUAGAAAGCAUCAUAUAUCACAAUAUUUAGAUGGAAGGAACAAAAAGUUUAAAGAACAAUCUAAUACCUGGAUGGGAUGCAAACCACGCUGCCGAUUUCCAAUACCCUCCACUGUAAUUAUAUGCAUUCCUUCCACAGAAUAUAACGGAGCCAAGCAUGCAUUGAUUGCAAAAUGCCUNUUUUCUCAGAAGCAGCUCAGGAGGAAAGAUAAGCUCUUUUUCAUUGUAAGAACUUCCGUCGGUUUCACUAUAGGAAAUGGGUCUAUGUUGUUUCCUGCCACAAGCUUCAGAAGAGCUUCCACACAAACAUGGUUUCCCUGUCGAAGGGCAAAUGGUUUGAUUGGUAGAGGAGCUUGCUGAUGUUGAGUUAGUAUAUAACGAAUCAUCGGUUUUAGCGAAAACACGGAAUGCAUCAAUGAUCGGCCUAUAGCCUGUACAACGACAUAAAUUUCCAGCAAGGUUUUCUUCGAUCUGCUCUUCAGUGGGAGGUUGUUUGUUUGAUCUCAAUAGUGCAUACAUAGACAUUAUGAAACCAGGAGUGCAAAAUCCACAUUGUGAACCAUGAGCCUGAGCUAGAGAUUCCUGCAUUAAAUGUGAUAAAUUUAGUUCCAAACACAAAUAUCGAAAGAAAACACUUUAUACUAAAAGCCAACAGGUGAUUAAAAUUAGUGGAAAUCAGUAUUAGAGACUGCUGACAAACACCUUGAAGUUUUCCGUCAAGAAUAAAAGGAGUACUGAUCUCAAGAUUAAUGAAAUCAGGAUAGAAAGGAUCAAAUAUUUAAUAUUAGGAUUUGUUGAUGCUCCCAAAUAAGAAAUUCACUAAGUCUUCAAGUUUGAACAAUUUAUUCGGUACAACAUGUGAGGCGUGGGGAUUUCUAUUGUGACUACAACCUAGGAGUUUAAUUGAGCUACUUUGAAACCUUAAUAAUUUCAACUUUUCAGGAUGCACCGCACGCUCCGCCAACGAGGAGAUUUAUCAAUUAUCACAUGCAGAGAAAACAAUUUAUAGGCUGUUCGUAUUACAUGGUUGUAGACAUCUUCACUGAGUUUAUUUUGUGCAGAUUAGAGGUCAGAUAUGAAACCUUCGAAGUGCAAAGAUAGUAACAGAAGCAAAUUCAACUAUGAAAGAAGCAAAAUUCUGAUAGGAAGUGGAUUUGUCAUUGGUAUUAACCAUCUAUAGUUUAACAAGUAAUAACUAUAAGUUGUUGGAUAUAACUACAAAGAGAUGAUGGAUUCAAAGGAACACUAAGAAUAUUGUCCCAAGCUAUAAGCUAAAGUAAAGAGCACUGCAAAAUGUUGAGCCACUAUUUCAGAGCAUAAGGUAGAAAUGGUAUAUAAUAUACAAAUAAGGAAAGAGUAAAUGACGGAUUAACCAGCAAGAAAAUUUCUCCCCGCAAAAAGGCUUGGAAACCAUAUAUUUCUUACUGCCAUUAAUUAGUAUAUAUUAUGGAAUAAAUAAUGUCUUCAUCAAACGAAUUCAUAAGAAUAAUAGAAAGCAUCAUAUAUCACAAUAUUUAGAUGGAAGGAACAAAAAGUUUAAAGAACAAUCUAAUACCUGGAUGGGAUGCAAACCACGCUGCCGAUUUCCAAUACCCUCCACUGUAAUUAUAUGCAUUCCUUCCACAGAAUAUAACGGAGCCAAGCAUGCAUUGAUUGCAAAAUGCCUGCACUAGUAACAAUUUCACAGCUAUAAAACUGCAAAACUGAAGAUUGCAUAAAAGUAGCAGCAUGUAUAAGAAAUACUAUACGAAACACAGAUUGGUAAGUGAUAGAGAUAGAGGUCUUUUUGUCCAUUCCCAAUCUGGGAAAUAGAACUUAAGAAUUGAGGUGGAUAAAUGGAAUGAAAAAGAAAGCAGAAAACAUUGACUGCGAAGAAUUUGUUUCUAAUGCAAUGAGUUAAGUAAGGCGAGGAAACUGCUUUGCCACAACUUCCGAAGUUUAUGAAGCAAUAUAGAUGGAAAACACAAUUAGGUACUAUCACAGAUAGGAUAUCUUACAUCGUUUUCUUCAUAUGCUGAUCAUAGCAAGAAGCCAUCACUGUACAAGCUCCACAACCACCUUCACCACAUCCUAGCUUUGUCCCUGUAAGGCCAAUAUCUGAAACAAAUACAAAUAAUAAGACAAAUCAUUAACCAAAAAAAUGAAUUGUCACCUAUCAUCAACAAAGAAUGAGAAGUACUAAAGCUGAAAACAAAAAAAACAGUAGACUCUCUAGUGACACAAGUAUGACAAAAGACAGCUAAGAUUUAGUGUGAUAAAAAGAAACAAAAAUAUCAUAUGUGAAAUGAUUUUUUAGAAUUUAGCUCUUAUCGUGUAGCAAAUGGACAUUUUUCUUAUGUGUUUGAUCAUAUAGUAAAUAGUAGAGAUUACUAGUAGCACAUAUGGCAUGCACCAGCACAGUAUGCACCUGUAUACCAUGCACAUACGACACUAGCACGGUAUAUAUUGGCACUUCAACUUGUUACUAAAAUCUCUUAAAUAAUUGGUCAUACGCAGAAUUGAUAACUCGUGCUAGAAAUUAGCAUGAUACCAUAAAAAAAUAAUAUCAAGUUUAGCAUCAUCACCUCAAUCAUAUAAUCAUCAAAACGUAGAUACCGGCAAAAAUAAUAAAUCGAGAAAGCUUCACAGAAAAUCAGAAGAUUCUUACAACAGGAGGAAACUGCCAAAAGAGAAUUGGUUUAGCAUUUAAACAGUAGAAGUUUCGAGCUUCUAAUGUGGAAAAAAGCUCAAAUGAGCUACUAUUCCCCAAAAAUAGAAGCUCCGGCACCAACCUUCUGCAUCUAGCUGCAGCAAGAAGCCAUUUAACCAGCUUCAAUGUUAGAAAUUUCUUUAGAUUUCUCCAUACAGCUUAAUUCAACAGCACGUCGAAACAGCUUAAUUCAACAGCACUUCCACAGUAGCUCCAGCUCAGCCAAAUAGGCCCGAAGCACUUCACAAUAAGUAACAACCACUAAUAAAGGCCUACCUUUCUUACAGUUGCUAAAACACUGAAAGCUACAGCAUUUUUAGUGUGUUUUCAAAUCAAAAGGUGAAAAAAUAUAAUUCCCAAAAAUUGUGCAAAUAACUCCACAUGCGGAUAUGAUUGAACAUAAUGCAAGUAAAAUCAAUCCCCUAUUAAUUAUGAAAAUGGGUGAAUUAUACAUCCAUUCGAGAUCGAAUGAUUUAGCUUCAAAAAAUUAAUAAAACUUUCUAAAAAAAAUCCAUGGUGCUAAGAAAAGUAAAUACCUAAUCCAAAUAAAUAGUACAAACAAAUAGCAAAACCAUAUAAGACAAGUGCGCAUUAAUUUUAACUUAAAUUUCAUAACUUUAUCCAACGAUUCCAACCUCUCUCUCAAUCGAACGAAACCAACGAAAACAUUUACAUUUUUGUUCGGCAAAUCAAAACCAUCCAAACGACCAUCCCAUGCAAUAGAAAAGGGUGAAAAGAGAGCCUAAAAAUCCAAUCUUUUAGCGAAAAUCCCCAAAACCAAUCCAAAAAAAACUCAUUAAAACACCAAUUAAAAGAAAAAUUAAAAACUUUCAACAGGGCCGAACCUCUGAGGUAUUGGAGAAGGGUGAGGUGGGCGAGCCCAUCGGGGAGCACGCGGCGCACGCCAUUAACGUAGAGGAUCGCCUCCUUCGACCACCCCUCCCCCACCACCAACUCCUCCAUCUUCGUGAGAGAACCCAUCCCAAACCUCUCGAAAUCGCCUCCCAAAGUCAAUGCUUCGAUCACCUCAAACACGAUAUAGGAGAUGAAUAUACGAGGAGAGGGAGAAGACAAUUUUUUUUUCUUUUUUAAAUUGUAGAGCUUAUCGCAAUUGCUGCUUUUCAGAGAAGCUGUAGCAGCUAAAGAAUACCAAAUGUUCGGUAUUGGCCAAUUUGCAUAAAAAAUCCGUCAGUUUUGAGAUUUUGCAAAACUGCAUUGCAUUUUUUAAUUUUACAGAUUCGAAAUAAAUUUUUAGCAAAUUGAUCAAAAUACUCUUAUUAUUUUUUCUCUCGUUCUUUUUUUUCCUCUCUCCAAAGAAAGCAGUGGAGGCGGAGGCGGAAACGGCCCGCCUCGCCUCUCACCCUCAUGACCUCAGUCAUCGCCCACGCACCUCCCGUCUUCCUAGCAUCCAACCCUACAGAGACCGUGCCGCGACUUUUUUUUUUUUCCUUUUCGAGCCUCCACGGCCUCCGAUGACGUCUAUCUCACCCUCUCUCGCCCUUCCCCGCCCUUUCCCCCUCCUUCCUCCUUCGCCUCCUCCGUCGUCUUCUCCGCCAACGCCGACAAUGCAGAGGUCACUGCGGUGCCGUAGCCUCAGAGCGCGGGAUCCUUAACGGCGUCGUCGCUGGAGCCGUGACCGUUGGCGAAGAGGUAUGAUCAAAAAAAAAUUAUAGAAGAGGAAAGAAAAAAAAAUAAAGAUAAAAAAUUAUAAAAAAAAGAAGAUGAAGAUGAAACUGCACUUUUAAAAUAAAAUUACACUGUUUAAAAUUUUUUUUGCAUUGUUUUAAAUGAAAAUUACAUUCUUUAAGAUAGAAAUCACACUCUUUAGAUCAUAUUUACAUUAUUUAGGACAAUGUUGCACUCUUUAGGUCACACUUUUUUUUUUUGAUUAAAUAGGGGUUGCUAAAUCACACUUUUGGUCCCUAAGCACGUAACUGUUUGACCGAUCGUCGAAUUUUAAUUUAUUACUAGCAACUAACCCGUGCAAUGCACGGAUUUUAAAUUUAUCUUUUAAUUACAUUUUUUAUAUAAUAUAUAUUAAUUUUUACAUAUUAAAAUUUUCUAAUAUAUUUUUAUUACAAUUUUUAUAUAAUAUAUAUUAAUUUUUACAUAUUAAGNAUGUAUUCCAUUCUUUCUUUUUUUUUAUUAUUUGAAGUUUUUUAUUUGUAUGUUAAUGAGAAUUUCAUUUUCCAAGAAAAAUGUAACUGUAAUAAUGACUUGUCAGCUGUAUUUUUCAAGAUAAUUAAUAUAUGUACUUCUUAUGCAUUUUGAAAGAGGGGUAGUUUGGUCAUCUUUUUGAAAAAACGGAUCGAAUCUGCAAAAACGAAAAAUGUGGCCCGAUUUUGCAAAAGCCCAAAACUAGUGGAUUUUUUAUACAAAUUGGCCUAAAUUCAAUGACUAAGUAUUGCUGUAUUAAUAAUGUAGAAGUGACACGACUUCUUAAUUAUUAUCGGAUCAUCCUUCACAACAUUACCGCAUCACAUCACAUCAACUAUGUUAAACUUUGAGGAUCAAAUGCCACACGAAUCAUAAUUUGAGGGCCAAUAGUGUAAUUUGGUUGACAAUAAAGUGUCAUAAUUAAGGCUAUUAAAAAAAAAAAAGUAUCCGAGGAGACGACCGAAAUAACGAAGCGCACGGAUUAGAGAGAGAGAGAGAGAGAGAGAGAGAGAGGGGACGGGAUCUUAUGAUCUCAUCUCACCACUCUGCGUCGUCUUCUUCGAUCAAGCGCUCCGACGCGUAGCUCCCCACGAAUCCCGUCCCCAACACCAACAUUCGAUGAUUCGCCCCCGACCCCGACAUCGCCGCCGCCGGCCGACGAUCGCCGGCGGCGGUGGGAAUCGGAACGGGGCGCCGCGAAUCGCCGCCAUGUUAGGAGAAGGAGAGAGAAAAGGAGGAGGCGCGCUGAGACUCAGGUGAGGAGUUCUUAAUCACGAGGGACUAAUUAGUUGGGUAACAAUUUAAUUAAACCCUGCGCGGUUUAGCUCAGCUUUUAGAUCUUUUCUCUUUUCCAUCUUCUUCCUCCUCUUCCUUCAGGUCCGCCAAUGUCACCCUCCCUUUCUCCUUCCAGAUCCUCACGAUCGCGUCGCCGCACAUACGCCCCAACUUCGCGGCGAAGUAGAUGCCCUCGCCGGAGCACCGCGCGACGUAGCCGGUGAGGGCGCAGGUGCUCGGGGAUAGGGUGGGCCUCGACGCAGACGAUGAAGAUGACGCUGCCAGCGAGCUUGGGUGCGGCCCGUGCGCUGGCGGCGGCCUAGAAGCGGCGGAUGGCAGGCUUGGCAGCAGCGAUGCCGGUGCCGACGGUGACGUGGUCGCACUUGGGGAAGACCCAGGUGCUAUAUUUUAUUUUACAAAUUGUAUAGCAAUAGUACCAAUAAAAAGCACUGUAGUUUAUGAUUAUGUGAUUUAUAGAUACAACACUUUACUAUUCUCUUUAAUGCAAAACAUUUUGCUGGCAAAAUACGCAAUAUGUAUGAACAAUGCUAGCACUACAACUCUAUUUCUUUGCUAGGCUUUUCAUCUUUUUUAUUACUAAAAAUUUUAAAACAAUUGAAAUCUGUAAAUUACGCACCGAGUGUAUCUCCGACGGCGAAUGACUGAGAAGAUGACCAAUCGGAGUAGAAACUAGCGUUGGGCCGUCGGCACCGGCAUCGCCGCCGCCAAGCCCGCCAUCCGCCGCCUCCAGGUCGUCGCCCGCGCCCAGGCCGCUCCCAAGCUCACCGGCGACGUCGUUGUCAGUGUUCGCGUCGAGGACCACCCCAUCCUCGAGCACCCGCACCCUCGCCGGCUACGUCACACGGUGCUCCGACGAGCGCAUCUACUUCGCCGCAAAGUCGGGGCGCAUAUGCGGUGACGCGAUCAUGAGGAUUUGGAAGGAGGAUGGAAAAAAAAAGUGUAAAUUUUACCAAUAUAGUGCAAUAUUAUCCUAAAGAGUGUAAAUAUAAUCUCAAAGAGUGUGAUUUUUGUUUCAAAAAGUGUAAUUUUUAUUUAAAACAGUGCAAAAAAAUUUUAACAGUGUAAUUUUAUUUUAACAGUGUAAUUUUAUUUUUUUCUUUUUUUUUUCUAUAAUUUUUUGCCUUUAUUUUUUUUUUUUCUACAAUUUUUUUUUGUCAUGCUUCUUCGCCAACGGCCACGGCGCCAGCGACGACGCUGCUAAGAACUUUCUGCUCCGAGGUUCCAGCGCCGCAGCAACUUCCGCGGUGUCGACGUCGGCGUCGGAGACAGCCGAGGAGGCGAAGGAGGAGGAAAAAAGAGAGGGCAGGGAAUGACGAGAGAGGGUGAGAUAGGCGUCAUCGUCGGAGGUUGUGGAGGAGGCUCGGGGAGGGGAAAAAAAAAAGUCACGGUGCGGCCUCGGCGGGGUCGGAAGCGAGGAAUGCGGGGGUGCACAGGUGAUGGCGAGGGCAUGAGGGUGAGAUGCGAGGCAGGUUGUUUCCGCCUCUGCCUCUGCCUCUCCAAAAAAUAAAAAAAGAAGAGAGAAAAAUAAUAAUAAUAUUUUAAUCAGUUUAUUAAAAAUUCGGAUUGAAUCGACAAAAUCUAAAAAAAGGGCCCAGUAAAAAANAGCAAAAUCAUGAAUACAAAAAUAUAAAAACAAACGCCUAUAGAUAUAGGUCUUUUGAGAAUACGCCUUAGAAUCAUAUUUUUAUGACUUCUUUUCUAGAAUUUUUUUUAUAAAUAGUCUUCUUGAAACUUUUAUUUACAAAAAUAGGCCUCCUUAAAAUUUAUUUGUAAAAAUAGUCUCCAAAUUGGCCAGGUCAGCAAGCAGGAAUAUGCGGUAAAUGGUUUACCGCAUAUAUAUAUGCGGUAAACCAUUCACCGCAUUUGUGGGACCAUCAGCUACCUCAGUCACGUGUGCUGGGAGCAUGAAAUACCGCUUUUAAAGGCGGUGAAUGGUUCACCGCUUUUAAAUGCGGUGAAUAGUUCACCGCUUUUAAAGGCGGCGAAUGGUUCACCGCUUUUAAAUGCGGUGAACCAUUCACCGCCUUGGAUCAUUUAUACCCCACCGCGCCCGAGCCCCUUUCCUUUCUCUCUCGCUCACCCGCGCGCGAGCUUCUCCACUGUCUCCCGCACGCUCCCUCACUCCUCUCUACCUCACUCGAGUCCGACGCCGCCGUCGCUGCCGCCGUCGCCGGCGCCGCCGACUGUACCCGCGCGCGAGCUCCUGCGUCUCCAGAGCUUCUCCUCUCUGUCUCCCGCACGCUCUCUCACUCCUCUCUAUCUUACUCACUCCGACCCGAGUCCGAGGCCGCCGUCGCUGCGGACGCCGCCAUCGCUGCGGACGCCGCCAUCGCUGCCGCCGUCGCCGGCGCCGACUGUACUGCUUCUGCCGUGCCUUCUCUUCUCAGCAUUGCAACGACAUUGUUCCAUUAGGUUAGUGGUGAGAGGUUUGAGAAAAAUCUAAUUAUUUUUGAAAUAGAGUUGAUUGUUUCUAAAUAAUNAAAAAAAAAGCGUUUUUUUUGGAUAAAAUUUAAGUAUUCGCGAAUCGCCCAAAAAAAGUUCGGCCCUCGCGGGUCGCGGGUCUCGCGGGUCGCGGCCCACCCAAAACAGAAAACAGAAAAAGCCCUUCGGUCCGAGUUCGCUUCCCUCCCCGCAAAACAACAAAAUCACUCGAUCAAAAAGUUUUUGCCCUAACACUCCCUCUCACCCCUGCGGCCCUGCCACCGACCUCAGCCCCCAUCCCUUCCCCUCCCCCUCUUCCCUUCCGGCCGCUCGCCGAACGCCAUCGGAAGCCCCCGCGGCGCCACAUCGAAGAUCGUGUUCUUCACUCUUCAUAAAUCGAAACCCUCCUCGUCGCCUCUUACUCUUCCUCUUCCGCUUCCGCUCUCCAACGAUGGAUCAGUAAUCGGGUGGUUCUUUACAAACCAGGUACGAAUCGGGUGGUUCUCUCUCUCUCUCUCUUUCCUUUAUUUCAUGAUUUCAUCUUCUCUUAAUUACUGACUCUAUGGUUUUGAGUACCAAGACCACGACUACAAAAUGUACCUCAUACUUCUUUUUUUAUCUUUAAUCUCUACAGCAUACAUGAAUCUUCGAAGAUACCAUAGAUAUUCUUAAAACAGAAUAAUCAGCAAAUAAGGUUUUAAGACCUCAAUAGGUUGAUAUGCGCAGCAGCAUACAUGAAUAUCCUGUGCUUGUGUGCUUUAUGUUUAUUCAAGCUUUCAUGUAUGCUUAUUAUAUGUGGAAUUGUGAACUUUAUAUAUCUUUUAUUUGUUUACUGUUUAGACUUUAGAUAUGCUAGUAUGCACUAUGCAAAGUGCGAGUUUUAUCUUGUACUUUGUUUCCAACUAUGCUUGUAUGUGAACCUUCUAUGCUUUAUAUUUAAAGUCUAAACAGUAAACAAAUAAAAGAUAUAUAAAGUUCAUAAUUCCACAUAUAAGCAUGCAUAAAAGCUUGAAUAAACAUAAAACAUUCAAGCACAGAAAGUUCUAGUGGGAUUUGAGUCUUGCGACACCACCCGAGUACACUUUAGANUCUUAUAUUCUUAAGAAUUAUGAGUAUUUAUGCUAAUAGCAUAAAUCUUGAGAGAAAAAAAUUUAAUUUAAUAGCCGAAUUUUUUAUCCCGAAUAUUUAAUUGGUGAACGUAUAAUAUCCGUAUAAAUCACUUAUCCGAAUAAUUGGCGAAUCCAUUUUUUAGCCGUAUUUUUUAACAAAUUUAAAAAUUAGAAGACGAAUUUUAUCUGAAUUAUAUCCGUACCGAAUUUUUGCCGAAUCCGAAUUAACUAACUCUCUCUCCCCCCUCGAAACCCUAGUCGACUCCACUGCGCCUUCUUACUUAUCUAGGGCUAGGGUUUAUCUCCACCCCUCUCCUUCGCAUGGGGAAGAAGCGGAAGCACGCGGAGGCGGCGGAGGCACCGAAGAAGGACGACUCGGCUCCGCCGAGGCCGAAACGCACUCUCACUGGUUGGAAGGAUGGCGAACCGGAGAAGCCGAGCGAUUCGAGCGCACACACUGUUUUCCGCAACAAAGAGAAGGUCUUGAUCACUUGCUCGCGGCGAAUCAACUAUAGGUGAGCUUCUGAGAUCGAGAUCUCACAUCGUUGUGUAGAUUUGAGUUGUUCAUUCCUUCCUUUUUGCCUAACAUUUUGGUCUGUUUGUUGGGGAAUUGGAAUUGAUGGUGUUGGUUAGGUAUCGGCAUCUUAUGCUUAAUGUAGUGUCUCUGCUACCCCACUGCAAGAAAGAUAGCAAGGUCGAGUCGAAAGAGAGCAAAGGGUCGACUCUGAAUGAGCUGAUCGAGCUGAGGAAUUGCUCUAGCUGCUUAUUCUUUGAGGUAUCCCCUGCAUCUCGUGUUAUUUAUUGAAGUUCCGUGAGAUGCCGAAAUAUGGUUGCCGUAAAAGUUUGGUUUUUAUGUUUUUUUUUUCCCCUGCUACUAACUGUUAGAUCUCCAUAUUUUUGUUUAGUGUUGUAUAUUGUAUUACUUGGCCUAGCUUCUACUUCUGCUUUCAGCUGCAGCAGCCAUCUCUGGUAGUGUUUGGCAAGUUGUGUCGGAUGGCUGAGAUGAGCUUAGUGCUUCUCCUAGAAGCAUUAAUACAUCCUAUAGCUAUGCCAAGAGACCAUGAGCAUGGAUUCCUGCUAAAUAGUCAGUUUUAAUUUGGUUUUCAAAUUUAAUUGUUCAAUGAAUUUUAAUGUGAAGCUUUUAUGUUGACUUUUCUUAAAAGUUUGAACAAUUAUAAAUUUAUAAUUGCUGAACCUUCUUAUACGUUUGCUAUAUCAGUGCAGGAAACAGAAAGAUCUUUACCUCUGGAUGGUUAAGUCUCCAAGCGGGCCAUCAGUCAAGUUCUUAGUUAAUGCUGGUGGGCAUCUUUGCUGUUGAACGUUCAACUUGUUGAUGAUUUCUCUCUGUAUUUUGAGGUUGCAUGUACAUAUACUCUUAACUGUGCUAUUAUCUUAUUUUAACAAACUCUGUACUCUUUUCUUAUAUUGACAGUUCACACGAUGGAUGAAUUGAAGCUUACUGGCAAUCAUCUAAAAGGUUCCCGCCCAUUGUUAACAUUUUCAACAAACUUCGAUAAGGAACCUCACUGGAAACUUGUAAAGGAGAUGAUAACUCAGGUGAUUGUUGGUCUUGCCUAUCUUUAAUACUUGUAUGCUUAAGCAUUUUCCAGAGGUUGUCAGCCUAUCAGGUUUCAUCUGUUACAUUAGCAACAAUUUUCUUCAAGGCCCAUGAAAUAAUAGCUAUAUUUCGUUAAGAGAUACUCGAGUUUAUGAACACAAAAUUAUCUAUGUCAUGAUUUGCAUACUUCGAAGAUUUACUUGCUCAUUCUAGCAUGUAGCAAGCUUUGUAUUUAUUUUUCCUCAGUAACCUUUUUACUCAUGUCUCGUAUAAAUAAUAAUUAGUUUUCUUAAGCCUUUGUUUUUAAUAUGUUGAGUGUUUUCAUAAAAAAAACCAUUUUGAGAAGCGUUAGUCUGCAGAUUAAAAAAGGAAAAAAUGCCGUUGCCAUUUUUGAUUAAUCAUAGAGAUGUCCGUGUAAGUUCAUAUGCUCUCACUUCUUGUACAAGUAUAUUAGAGCAGAACCUAAUUUGUAAGGCGCUGGUAAGGCGCGCGGCCUAGGCCUUCUGAGCUGCAAGUGAUGAUGACAGUGGUUAAACCUUAUUUCGAAUUAUGCAUGUUUCUUAAAAGAGUCUAAGCAAACGUGAUAUAUUUCUUAAAGUUGUAGUGCUGGCAGAAUAUGCUAAAGGCUGACUUUUUCCUUCCCUAAUUGCAGAUAUUUGCGACACCGAAAGACCACAGGAAAUCUAAGCCUUUCCAUGACCACGUGUUUGUAUUUUCAAUUUUGGAUGAUCAUGUAUGGUUCCGGAAUUACCAGGUGAAGUAGCAAUCUUUGACCUAUCUGAUGGUUUUUUUGUUGCAGAUAGCUGAAACUCAACAUUUUUUCCAAAUUCUUUUCAGUUUCAUAAGCAUUUCUACUACUACUAUGUUUCAUUAGACUAGGGUGUUGGAAUAAUUCAUAAUGCUACGUGAAAUGAGUCCCACUUAACUGGUUAAUUGCUGAGUAGUUACCGGUUAAUUUUUUGUGAUGAAAGUCGGUGUAAUGCGAUGCAUGUGUAGUAUUACUGUAAUCUGCUUUAAGAGGUGGUUUUGACUCCCAUUCUUAAUUCAUCAGAAAUGUUAUAAUUUUUCUUAUGUUGCUAAUAACUUUUUGUUUCGGUAAUACUUGCAUGAAUAUAUUGAAAGCUUUGUGUUAUUUACAUUUUACAAUUUUGAAAGAAACUUAAAACAUACAGAGUAUUUUUGGGACGGCGGCAAAUAAGAACCUCACUAGUAGGAAAUCAUAGCAAUGAAUUGCUACUUCUAUCACAUAAGAUCCAUCCUCAAGUGGAAAUUACUUUCAAAACAGACUUUAAGCUGGAGUCUAAUUUGUUUGCAGAUUUCUGUUCCCCACAAUGAGACUGAUAAAGUGGACCGAGGAGGUUUAGAUAAAAUGACGCUUGUCGAGGUAUAUAUCAAUCUUGAAGUUAUAAAGGAAAUAAUAGUAUUUUUGGCACAUGUUUUAAUUGAAUUGUUUCUUAAUAGGUUGGUCCAAGGUUUUGUUUGAACCCGAUCAAGAUAUUUGGUGGCAGUUUUGGUGGCCCGACGUUAUAUGAGAAUCCAUUCUACGUAUCACCAAAUCAGGUAUGCAUCUGUCCUGUGUCCUCUUUUAUUCCUCUUCGGCAAGAUGAGCCACUGAGAUAAUGAACCAGUUCUUCUGUGAACAGUGCCAGAGUUUGUCAAAAAUCCGACAAACCUUUCCUCUUAUGUACAUGAUUUACUGUUUAUGUUUUUCUUUCUUUCUUUCUUUUUUUAAAAAAAUCUUUUGCUUAUCUAUCUUUAUAAGUAACUUCCAUUUGGCUAACCCGGAAAAGUGCUGAUUGAGCAGUAAAGUUGUUCAAAGAAGCACCGACGGCAUUUUUUUGCAGAAACCUCGAGUUAUAUUCUGAUUGAAAUUUGCAGCUAUUUAUACUAAUGUAUUUGUGGACUGUCCCUUAUCUGACACUUUAAAUUCAAGUUUGUUACUGUCUUAAUUUCAUUAUCCUACUGGGCUUUUGGAUCUGUUUGUGUUUACUGAUUUGUUUUGCUUUGCAUCAGAUCCGGGCUCUGGAGAAGAGGAAGAAAGCCGGAAAGUAUGUGAAGAAGGUGAAGGCCAAGACGAGGCGAAAGAUACAUGAAAUGUCGAACGCCUUGGAGCCGGACGAGUUUGCGGAUUUGUGGAAGGAAUAAAUUAAAUUUUGUCAGCUCACAUAAAUUUCGAAUUUCAGGAAAUUUUGACCUCAUGUUUCCUACUGGCUUUGAACUUGGAUGUACUUUUCUUCUUUCUUAGUUUUGAAUGUUCUGAUGUUUUCUCCACCAUGGUCUCUUUUCUUUACAUUGUUCAUGUAUGAAUAUACUUUGUCAUUAUCUAUUUAAAAAACAAUGCUGCUCUUUUUAUUGAUUUCAUAAAAUACUUUCUUUUGGGAUUGGAGUCAGAAUUUUAACAUUUGAAUUUGUACUUAAGAUGUCCAGUAAGCUAGAAAUUGUGGAAGCAUAAGAAUAUUGAGGUUUGAAGCUGCUGCUUCCAAGGGCCUGGAAGCUAGUCAGAUGAGUGACUUCAAACUACUUUUUAGAGUAGAAAAGCUGUUUCAGAAGCCAGACUAUGGAUUUACUUGUAUGUGGUUUGUGGCCAACUGCCUUCUGUUUCUUACAUAAAAAUUAGAUGAUUGGAGGAGGAUCAAAUGAUUUGCAGUAGUGCAAUUCACCCAUUUUAGGAACCAAGCAUGUUUUCUCAUUAAACUUAAUUUGUUUGGUAUUAUAAAUCUAGCACUAAAAGAAAAUAUCAUGUAAUAUUAUACCAGUGAAAUAUUCUCUAAUAAAUACGCUAUCAAGUCGAGAGACCAAAUCAAAAUAUUCUCUUUGUUUGGUAUCUGUAGUUUUAUCAAGAACCAAACCAGAACCGGAGUGAUUUAACCAAAUCUGAACAGAUUUGAGAACAGUUGUGUAUUUUGGGAGUCGAUUCUCAACUCUCGCCUUUAAUAAAAUAAACAAGCUUACCAGAAACCAGCUUGUAAUUUAUUACAUCAAAUCACAUAUCUGCAGUUUCCUGUAGUUAUGUGUCCAACUGAUCGGAAAUCGGCUAUUUACAGCAGUAAGAAGCGAACAAUCAGACACUGAGUUUCGGGCGGUAGUUCGGGCUUGCAAAGUGCUUAGUGAAAGAGUCGACGCAGGCCAUUCUGAUCCUCUCGGGUGUUGCAGGAUUAUCGAGCGGGAACCACUCAUUUAGACCCUCCUCGGCUCGUGCUGCAAUGAUUGCAUCUUUGAUCGCGAAAAACACAGAAGAUGCAAGGAAGAAUGGCGGCUCGCCCACAGCUUUCGAAGAGUGAAUUGCCUUCGGAUUUGGAACACCCUGCAGCAUUAUCAGUAAAAGAUUCGCAAUUAAUCAACACAGGAAAUGCACAGCUCUGCAUAAAAGAUCGUAAAAUACAAAAUACCUAAGCCUGAUGAAAUAAUGGGUCUAAGAGUAAAAGACAUCAAACAAGCAAAGAUGCGACUUAGAUGAAUUUAAAGUCGUCGAUUAUGAACUGUUCACAAUGAUACACCGGGGAGAGUAAGAUUGCAGUCUCUUAAACGGAGGGUAAUAGAAAAUUAAAAUUUCGAGGAAAAUUUCUACUCGCCGAUUACAGAAAGAGACUAUUUUAAAAGCUUAGUACCUUAUAAAGAUCUGCGAGAUACAGAACCUUACAUAUUUUGCACUUUGUUGUUUCUCACUAUUGAAGAUAUCUUCUUUCUGUUUUGUCAAACAAGUUGAACAUAUUUUCCUCAAAUUAUAGAAUUUAAUAGCAUAUAGAUGUAUAAACAUACCAACUCCAAAAUAUGAAUGAAUCACACAGGCUGCAAUAGUACUAAUUGGCAAGCAAAAAACCACUACCUUCAAAAGUGAAACCUUGAAUUUCAGAGGUAUAUCAUUUACUGAAGGAAUUUUGUAGGUUCCAGGGCCGCAAGUAAACAGGUUGCCGGAUCUAAUCCACUUGUGAUGAGCAUCUCCCCAUUUCAGCUCUUCCAAGGCAACCCAGCCUAAUCCUUGUAUAAAAGCUCCUUCAAUCUACAACUCAAAGAUUUAUGGUAAAAAUGAAAGGGGUUUAAAAAAAAAAAACAUAGAAAAUAAAGGAACCCUAAAAUAGCAAAUUCAUAAGAAUCAUAAACUAUUCAUUCUAUAUUACUCAAGACUUAAUAAAUAGAAGAUGAAAAAUAAUUUUCUAAGGCACCUGUCCAAUGUCAAUGGCUGGAUUAAGCGAAUAUCCGAGAUCCAUAACAAUAUCUGCUGUUCUUGUAUAGAAAUCUCCAGUUAAAGUGUCUAUUUCAACCUCAGCAAAUGCCGCUCCAUAGGUGUAGUAGCUGAACAGAGUUCCCUUACCCACUUUCCAGUCAAACCCAACAUUAGGUGUGAUAUAAAAACCGUGAGCUGAGAGAUCUAUUCGCUCCAUGUAGCAUGCACACACUAACUGGCAAAAUUAACAUUUGUGAUUCAGAGACGUCGUGAAAUACAAAUAAUCAAAACCACAAAUCUAUCUCGGUAACCACAAUAGAUUGCAAUUCUAUAAUUAUGUGAAUCCCAUUAAAAUUUCAUUUAAGAGUGGAAAAAUUUAAAAUUUCAUCGCAUAAACUAGUGAUUCAGAGCAAAGAAUUCAACUGGCUGCCAUACAUAGCAGAAGAUAUUGAGAAGGCAAUACCUCGGCAAAAGAACUGUGCUUUUGUCUGCAAGCUAUAGGUUCCAUGCGGGCCUUAAUUUGCUCACAAGCAUCUAAAACUGCAGCGCCAUACAAAUCCGAACUUGCAGAAGCUGCCGUUGCUGAUGCAUUAGGAACCUAUAAAAAGAAUACUACCAUAAAGUUCAUAUAUUAUAAAAUGUUCCGACUGAAUUAUCUCCAUUGGUUUAGAGUAAUACUGACCUUAUCAGUGCUUGUUUCCGAUAUGAAUACAGAACUGAGAGGAAUAUUAAAGGAUGAGGCAGCAAUUUGGGCGACUUUUGUGUGUAGGCCUUGUCCCAUCUCCACUCCACCAUGCGUCACUAGGACGGUGCCAUCAGUAUACACUUGCACAAGAGCGCCAGCCUGCAGAGCCAUUCAUCGAUGUAAACCAAAUAACAAGGAAAAAAAGAAUGAUGAAGAGAAAAUAGAAACCCAUAUAGAUUCUCCCCCAUCUGCUCCGCCACCCCAGGGUUAGCACCACUGACCUAAAGACGGAACUGUCAUAAUUACUUCAUUCAUAACUACAACCUAGAAAUUGUGUAUAAUAUUCUGCUGCAUAUCUAUAGUUGUUUCUCAUGAUUUACACCAGAUAUGGAACAACAUAUGUUAAGACUAUACAAAAAGAGAAACAGGAAGUACUGCAGGGAUGAAAAUUACUAAGCCUCGGUCAUGUAUUUUUCAGAGGCGCAAGAAACAUUAAUUGUUCAAAAACAAAAUAAAGAACUCACGCAUUUGAUAUCCGAAGCAGAAAUUCAUCUGUGGUAUUAAUAGUAUUCUGCAAAUUCCUUGAAUACCUGAUUCAUGUGCUUUGCAGUGAAGGAGAUGCCGAAUUUGGUGGGAACCAUUGCAACUCCUCGCUUUCUCCAACGAUUUUGACGGUUAAAAGAGCUUACUGCUUCGCGAGCAUUUUGAAAAUCACAAGAGAUCUUUAGUUCAUCCCACACCUGUCUGAUUGUGCAGUUCUCAAGCACUUGUCCAUAAUGAAGCACUGUCCCUUCAUUGUGAAAAUUAAGCUCCUGAAUAUUACCGAAUUUAGACAAUUUCUAAUGGUGAAAAACAAGAAUGUUGACAAAAGUAAUCUGGAACAAACAAGUAUUUACUACUUACCCGUAUCUCCUCAGGACUUUUCCGAAGCUCCGUAGCUAUACGUUGAAUCCAGUUCUCAGUAAUAAGCAUGCCCUGUGGGCUCCCAAAACCCCUGAAAGCUGUAUUACUUGGGAAAUUUGUAAAGCAAACUUGGCCUCGAAUCUUGAUGUGGGGUAUAUCAUAGACAUUUUCUGAAUUAAACAUAGCACGCUCCAGGACUGGAACAGACACGUCCAAUGAAUUCCCACCAUUAUUGUAGAUUUCAAGAUCCAAUGCCAUAACCUUCCCUUCAUUUGUAAACCCAACCUGAAGUAAUUAUAUCGAGAAAAAGAAAAAAAGAAAAAGAAAACUUUAGGUAACCAUGAUAUGAAAUUUAAAUACAAAGGAAAUGUAGGACCCGAUCAUUACUUCACGCAAAAUUGUUUUUGUAGCUUUAGAUUCUAUGUAUACCAAUAAUUAACAUGACAAUUAAGCUUCUUGCAGAAGCUUAAAGAUUGAGUUGCAUCUGAAAAAUCCUAACUGUAACAUGCUUUACUACUGCAAAGUGCAAGGACAGUCGAAGUUUGUCAACAUGGAACCUAGGAAAGGGGAGCAACCAUUAUCGUGACCAUCUAUUGUCCUUGAACAUGUGGAUUAGUAACAAUUUAAUAGGUCUAAUCUAGCCAUAAGAGUAGGGAAUACCCAAUGCAAAUAAAUGGCCAGAUCUAGGGUAUAUGAAGCAUGCACAGAUGUGCACUCUAAAGAAUAAUAAUACAAACUAAACAAACCGUCGGUACAUUGCACAAUUGAAGUUAUGACAUAACUGUACACAGGUAGCACUCUGAAGCAACAGAAUUUAACUCUUCCAAAAAAAAUUGAGUAAUUAAUGAAAUCAGUACCUUGUAUUUUCCAAGGAAGCUGUGCCGCUGUCCAGUUAUCAUCAUAUCGACAUCCCUGUCUAGAACAAUCUUCACUGGUGUUCUUAAAUGAUAUGAUGCUACAGAUGCUGCAGCUGCAAUGAAGGAAGAUCUGGUUUCUUUCCCACCAAAGCCACCACCAAUGCGCUUUGUCUUGCAAACGACUUUCGAUAAUGGUAGAUCAAGAACAUUGGCAACAUACUCCUGGUUCCUUUGUGGUGCCUGAGCACCAGCAAAGGGAUGCGCAACAUUAGACCAAUUUAUAAUGUGUAAAAAAGAAUUUAUUAAAUUUAGAAGAGGAAUGAGAAUUAAAUAAAUCUAUUGCACGAAAUUUCCUCAGGGAAACGAAAGCUACUUCAUGCAUUGAUAUCAUCUUACAGUAGAACUUUCACUAAAAUUUUCAGUGACACUCGGAAGUAAGUCAACAUUGCUUUCAUUAAAUAUGAUUUCACCAAAAAAAACAAGACUAGAUCGAUGGGUUAAUAGGUGCCCCACCAAAGUUGUAAUGGUUGUCUCUUAAGUUUGAUCUCAUUAAAAAAAAAAAACGCAGACAUUACACCUUUGCACUUCAUUUGCACAAAGGAGUAAGCUCGAAAGAAAUUUGGCUCGUCUUUUAAUUAUUCUCUUAUCAUUUAGCGGUAUAUCAUGAUUUCUGGAAGUAGGCAAGUCCUAGAAUAUCCUUACUCGACAAAAGCAUGACUUAAAGAAUAGAAAUGAUUCAGCUAUAAAUAUUUAGGAUAAGAGCUUUCAGAAACCACGAGAAAUGGUAGACCAUCAAACAGCGCAGGCAUCUUGGUAUCAAAAGAAAAGUCACAUGAAGUUAUACAAAUUUAGCCCCGAAAGUUGACCAAGAUACCGAUUUUGUUCUUAGUUGCAAUAAAUUUAGCCCUAAAGUUUGAUUAAUCUCAUUCGCAAAGUGUCAAAGUUAACAAAGCAAAGUCUUAGGUUCAAGUGGGCACCCUUUUCUGAUGAUAGAUUAACAUAUAACAUAUUUAUUAUGCAAAACAACCUUCAGGGGCAAAUUGUUAAGAAUGAAACUAAGAGGACGAAACCGAAAUGAAGGUUCACCUCCAGAGACUAACAUUGCAGUUAACCCUACAGCUUAUCGUAUGGAUUGAAGCAAAAAGAAUGGAACAUACUUGUGUAGAGGAGAUCAUAUGUACUUCAUUUCCAGAGUCAACUGUCCAGACCAGACAGCUCUGGGGCUCCAAGUAAAAGUGCUCUUGACCUCCAACCUGAACCUCCCCUUCUAUAAUCUUGUCGCAUGAACCUGACUUGAAACACCAUUCGGCAUCUCCGUUUACCAAGCUCCUCGCAGUGUUAGGAUGAAAACUGCCAGAAUCAACAGCAUCUCUUAUAGACAAAAUUGCUGGCAAGUCUUCAUAUUUAAUCUCAACUUUAUUUGCAGCAGCUUUUGCAUUUUCAUGAGUAUCCGCCACAACAAUCCCGAUAACCUAUAAAUGACAAUAGUAAGGAAAAUAGGAUAUACAACAGCGUAUUGCUCCACUGAAACAUUUCCAUUUACACGGGUAAUAACAGCAAACUUUUCACUUAAAUGGGUAACUAUACAAAUAUGAUGUAUUUGUGGGGUAUAUGUGCAAAAGGCCCCAAAAAAGAAGUGAAUAGAGGUUCAAUACCUGGCCAACACAAGUAACAACCUCUGAAGCAAAAAGUUCCUCAUUGGCAACAACUGGUCCAAGCUUAUUACUACCAGGGACAUCUUUUGCAAGAAAAAGACCAGAAAAACCAGGUGAAGUUCGGGCACGUGAAUUAUCUAUAGAUAAUAUGCGUGCAUGAGCUCUUCUACUCAAUAUUAAAGCCGCAUGCAAAGUAUUCUGAGAUGUACGUGUAUCAUCAGUGUAUUCGGCCUCACCAGUCACCUGAUAAAUUGCAAUAACAGAGAAAUCAAAUGAAUGGCAACGAUCUGCAGCACCUUGGACUAACCAAAAAAAAUAAUCAAAUAGAGAUUCUUAGCUUUUGUAGCAAACUACCAAAACAUGAAGCCAGUUGAAUUUUCUACCAGAAUUACUGAGACUCGUUAGCAUUUAAAACUCUCUCUACAAGAUGCUUAUCAACAAAGAAAAGGAACUUGUUACGACAAGCAUACAAACGAAAAACGAAAAUGGCGAACACAAAAUAGACAAACCACAAGCAGAAAAAGAAGAACACACAGAUUUACGUGGAAAACCCUUUGUAGGGAAAAACCACGGGCGAGGGAGGAGAGAUCUUCACUAUCAAAAGGGAAUACAAUAUUGAAGGUACAACCAACCAUGAUCUGUAGCCUCUAGGGCAAAAACGAAAAGGAAACUCUUUACGGGUUUCGGAUCCGAUCCAUACAGCGGGGGGCUCUGCCCCCCCCACACCCCCUGGCAAAUGUCAAUGGUGGUCUACAGGCUCGGACCUGUCAGCCCGAGCCCUCCGCUUCCCACCACAUACAUUCAUUUUUCCUUUCACAAUUUUAUUUUUCAAUUUGGUCGCACCGCGAAACUGUCGGCAAGUUGAAAUCCCGAACUGAAGUCGAUUAUCAAUUUCGAGUCACAUCUAACAGAAUUUAAUGACAAAAUUAAUAGAGGACAAAACUGAGCUUUGGACUCCCCUGUUUUUCGUGAUCAGGUUGGGGCUUUGGACCUGUGUAAUCUCGCCUAUGUACCUAUUUACACUUUCAAAUAGGGUAUAUCCCUGUUUAAUCAAAAAAAAAAAAAAAAAAAACUGAGCUUGGUCCUUGUGUAAAUUAAAAGCAUAGAACUAAUAGAAUAUCGAGUUCCCUACAAAAGGUUAUAGACAAAUAGACACAGAAGAACAAAUUACCAAUCAAUGAAAGGGGAAAAAAAACCAAUAAAAGAGCGUUAUCUAAGAUGGGAAAACAUUGAUUAUUCAAAUUUGUGUGAGAAUAUAGGAUUUUUUUGUUUCUUUCAAUGGAAAAAGCGAUACUCGCUGGACCUAACAAUUCGUAUCAGAACAGAUUUGUGCAAAAUACUAAAAGCUAUCAUAUGUAAAAUGCAAUUAGAUUUGCUUUCAAAAUAUCUUUAUAGCCAUUGAACAAUUUCUAUUUAACAUCCUAACAAAAAGUAAUUCUAGUUGAGAAUAGGGAGCUAGUUGAAAGAAGUCUGAACAGAUCUUACAAAUUAAUCAUGGAGCUACCUGGUGAAUUCAACCUUUUGCACAAGGCUGGCCUUUUUGACAAGAUUAAGUUGUAAGAAUACAUGUAACAAACUAAGUAAUAACGAUAUAAAUAACUAAGGGACCAAAAAUCGUAAAGCCAUAAACAGGUUAGUUACAAUCUUUUUUCCCAUCAAAUGGCAACAGUACAUAUUGGCACAUCAUUAAAAGGCAUCAAAACCAAAUAAUUCGCCAAUAGCUACGGAAUAUAAAUUAACAAAUGGGCCACAUUAACAUGUAAUUAAUGUCCCUGGUAACAAGAUUUAAGAAGACAUAAACUACAUGUACAGAAGUUAAAACUACAUUGGUCGAUGCUUGCAACAAACUUCUAGGCAUCUUCAGGAAUUUUACGUUUUUCAGUUUUUGCUUUUCACCGGAUAGCCAAUUAGUCCAGCAGUACGGAUAUGCGGUGUGGCAGAUUUCUGCCAUUGGCAUAUUUAAUCAAGUAACUAGCUAGGAGAUUACUCCCUUAAAAAAAAAAAAAAAGAGUUCGACAGACUAUAAAUAACCUCAAUAGAAUCAGGUAAAGUUCUCUUCAAAUCAAGCAUAUAAAUAACAAGACAACAUCACAAGAUCACAUGCAACUUUCAUAACUUCUAGCAGAUAAAUGGAUAACAGUAUAGCUCGUGUAUUAUUAUCAACUAAUAAAAGGCAUAUACAAUAACUAACAAAACAGAUACAGAUGCUGUCCUUAAGCAAUCCCACCAAGAUUCAACUCUUUCAAUAAACCAAAAUAUGUGAUAUACCUGUAGCUUUGAUGAGAGAUGGACCAUUGGUAGCCCCACAGCUGUUCCAUGUCUAGCCAACUCAUAACUCUGACUUCCACAAGAUGAAGGCCUUGAGUAAGGCUGUACAGCUGAUAGUUGAGUGGCAUGCAAACCUUCCUUAAAGUGUCCUUUUACAUUCAUCUCAUGAGUUACCCACAUAAAAAAUUUAAAAAAGAAACUCAGUGUAAGGGAUUUUCGGAAUUCAGCCAUUCCACCUGGUGCAUCCUCCGGAAUAUUAAUAUCCUCUUUUAAUACAUUUAAAACAUCCUCUAACAAUUUCUUAUCCCAUUUCUUUCCCAUCAGAUAUUUCUCUGUUCUUGAUGAAGAGAUAGAAAGCGCGGCGACUCCUCCAUAAACAAUAGAAACAUCAGCGAUAAUCCAGUCUCCGUUUUCUUCCCUGAUAUGAGCACGCAUUCCGGCAUUUACCAAAGCAAUAUCAUCUUCCCUUCUAUGUGCUUGUUUAAACUCUUUCACAAAUUCAAAAGGUCUUGUCCAUGGUAAAAAUAUUGAGAGUAAUAUCUCAUCAUGUCGAAUAUCAACUUUGCGAUAACCAAGAAAGUAAUCUUUGGCAGAAACAGUUCUAACUUUUCCUUUACAAUCAAUCAGCUGAAACUUCGCAUUAGAAGCCAUCCAAAGGGGGUUUAGGUCAGAUAUUGGACUAGCAGUACAAAUAUUUCCGCCAACAGAAGCAACAUUCCUAAUUUGUUUCCCAGCAAACCACUUCAGCUGCUCCAAAAUCGCCCUGCAAGAUGAAAUCUCAUGACCGUCUCUCUCUGCUACAACCUUUUGAAGGACUUGUUGGAGCUGUGUCAGCCUCACAGAAGCACCAAUCUCAAUGCCAUCUUCUCCCACGUUCAAUGCAUUAAGCUCCACCACAUGGGUAACCCAAAUGAGCACUCGAUACUGCACAUUUUUGAACUUCGUUUCUAUCCCUACUUCAGUGUUACCAACAACGAGUUUUGCCUCCGGAUAGCAAGACUUGAGAUCUAACACAUGCUGAAGUCUUAGAGGUCUAUACCAUUUUAAACCACCAAAACCAUGUAAACUUAGAGGCAAGACUUUUCUCAGAAGCAGCUCAGGAGGAAAGAUAAGCUCUUUUUCAUUGUAAGAACUUCCAUCGGUUUCACUAUAAGAAAUGGGUCUAUGUUGUUUCCUGCCAUAAGCUUCAGAUGAGCUUCCACACAAACAUGGUUUCCCUGUCGAGGGGCAAAUGGUUUGACUGGUAGAGGAACUUGCUGAUGUUGAGUUAGUAUAUAACGAAUCAUCGGUUUUAGCAAAAACACGGAAUGCAUCAACAAUCGGCCUAUAGCCUGUACAACGACAUAAAUUUCCAGCAAGGUUUUCUUCGAUCUGCUCCUCGGUGGGAGGUUGUUUGUUUGAUCUCAAUAGUGCAUACAUAGACAUUAUGAAACCAGGAGUGCAAAAUCCACACUGUGAACCAUGAGCCUGAGCUAGAGAUUCCUGCAUUUAAUGUGAUAAACCGAGUUCUACACACUUAUAUCAAAAGAAAACACUUUAUACUAAAAUCCAACAGGAAAUAAAAAUCAGUAGAAAUCAGUAUUUGAUACUGCUGGCAAACACCUUGAAGUUUCACCUCAAGAAUAAAAGAUGGACUGAAUCAUGAUUUAUGAAAUGAAGAUCCAAGUCUAGGGACAGAAAAGACCAAAUGUUUAAUGUUAGGAUUUGUUGGUGCUUCCAAAUAAGAAAUUCACUAAGGGCCGGUCUCUGUGUUUGAACAAAUUAUUCGGUACAACAUGUGAGGUAUGGGAAUUUCUAUUGUGACUACAACCUAGGAGUUUAAUUGAGCUACUUUGAAACCUUAAUAAUUUCAACUUUUCAGGAUGCACCGCACGCUCCGCCAACGAGGAGAUUUAUCAAUUAUCACAUGCAGAGAAAACAAUUUAUAGGCUGUUUGUAUUACAUGGUUGUAGACAUCGUCACUGAGUUUAUUUUGUGCAGGUAGGAGGCCAGAGAUGAAACCUUCGAAGCACAGAGAUAGUAACAGAAGCAAAUUCAACUAUGAAUGAAGCAAAUUUUAGAUAGGAAGUGGAUUUGUUGUGGUAUUAAACCAUCUUAAGUUUAACAAGUAAUAACUAUAAGUUGUUGGAUAUAACUACAAAGAGAUGAUGGAUUCAAAGGAACACUAAGAAUAUUGUCCCAAGCUGUAAGUUUAAGUAAAUGGUGCUACAAAAUGUUGAGCUACUAUUUCACAGCAUAAUGUAAAAAAUGGUAUAUGAUAUACAAAUAAGGAAAGAGUUAAGUGGAUUAGCCAGCAAGAAAAUUUCUCCCAGCAAAAAGUGUGGAAACCAUAAUUUUCUUACCGCCAUUAAUUAGUAUAUAUUAUGGAAUAAAUAAUGUCUUCAUCAAAAAAGCAUCAUAUAUCACAAUAUUAGAUGGAAGGAACAAAAAGUUUAAAGAACAAUACCUGGAUGGGAUGCAAACCACGCUGCCGAUUUCCAAUACCCUCCACUGUAAUUAUAUGCAUUCCUUCCACAGAAUAUAACGGAGCCAAACAUGCAUUGAUUGCAAAAUGCCUACACUAGUAACAAUUUCACAGCUACAAAACUGCAAAAACUGAAGAUUGCAUAAAAGUAGAGCAUGUAUAAGAAAUAGGAUACGAGGCACAGAUUGGUAAGUGAUACAGAUGGAGGACUUUUUGUCCAUUCCCAAUCAUGGAAAUACGAUAUAUCAUAAGAAUAAUAGAACAGAACUUAAGAUUUGAGGUGGAUAAAUGGAAUUAAAAGGAAACAGAAAACAUUGACUGCAAAGAAUUUGUUUCUAAUGCAAUGAGCCGAGUAAGGCUAGAAAACUGCUUUGUCACAACUUCCGAAGUUUAUGAAGCAAUAUAGAUGGAAAACACAAUUAGGUACUAUCACAGAUAGGAUUUGUUACAUCAUUUUCUUCAUAUGCUGAUCAUAGCAAGAAGCCAUCACUGUACAAGCUCCACAACCACCUUCACCACAUCCUAGUUUUGUCCCUGUAAGGCCAAUAUCUGAAACAAAUACAAACAAAAAGACUAAUCAUUAACGAAAAAAUGAAUUGUCACAAGCUGAAAAGAGAAAAACAGUAGACUCUCUAGCAACACAAGUAUGACAGUGAGACAGCUAAGAUUUAGUGUAAUAAAUAGAAACAAAAAUAUCUUAUGUGAGGCGAAUGGACAUUUUCUUGUGUGUUUGAUCAUAUAGCCCGCGCUUCGUGGCGGAUAGUUAGUAUUUCAGCCCAUUAAUAUAUAUAGUUAUUAAAUUUUAAGAUUGAAAAAAAUUAUAACUAAAGAAAUGCCAAAAAAAAAAAAAGUAGUCUUAUGUACAUUAUAAAAAUUAACAUUUUUUAUUAAUAUUUUCUUAAAUUUUAGUAUUUGUACAGUUAAAUUAUUCUAAUAAUACAAAAAUUCAAUCAAAUUAAUAGUUUUGAUAGCUAAUUUAUAAAUAAAUUUUUUAACUAAAAAGUUAUAGCAGAUUUUUUUACUAAAAAGUUAUAGCAGGGAACUUAUUUCAAAUUGAAGAAAAGGUGAGGGUUUCUGUUAAAAUUGAUUGAAGAAAGAAAAAUUAUUGCAUGCACCUGGUGCAUAUGAAUACUCCAUACACCACAACUUAUAUUAGAUGACUAAUAUUUUAAUAUCAAAUUUUAAUUUUAUAUAUUUGAUCUACAAAGUCUAAUAAUUUAAAUUAUGUUUGAUAAAUUAAUUUUAAAAUAUCUAUUAAAGAAUUUUAAGCAUACGAUGUAUGUACAAAUAUACACCUGUUAUAGAGAAUAUUUAAUAGGGUGCGCUCAUAAUUCCAAAAGAGUGGAGAAAUCUUUGCUUGCACCUGGUGCACACCAAUGCUCCAUACACCACAUAGAAAACUAGAUGAUUGAUAGGAUAUUUGAUAAUUAAUAUUGUAAAAUAAUAUAAAAUAUAAUAUAUAUAUAUAUAUAUAUAUAAUAUAAAAUAUUUAAAUAAUUUAUUGUAUUAUAAAAAUUAUAUAUUUUAGAGUUGGUUUACGGUGCAGUAGGCACGUCUAAAAUUUUUAUUGGACAUGUGAUAAGCUCCCAUUGGUUCGUGCCUUAAUUGGCAACAUGGCUUCGUGCCUUAAUUGGCAACAUGGCUCUAUAAAAAACCAUUUUCUUGAUGUGGCCGAACCAUCAAAUUAUAUAUUCUAUGGUACAGAUUACUGGUUCUUCUUACCAGCUACCAAAGUAGCGCAUACGCCGUGCAGUGGCACAUAUGGCAUGCACUACCACAGUAUGCGCCUAUAUACCAUGCAUGCAAGUACCACACUAGCACGUUAUAUACGAGGCGAGUACUGGCACUUCAACUUGUUACUAAAAUCUCUGAAAUACUUGAUCAUACGCAAAAUUGAUAACUCGUACCCCUCAUAUCAAGUUUAGCAUCAUCCCCUCAACCAUAUAAUCAUCAAAAUGUAGAUACCGGCAAAAAUGAUAAACUGAGAAAUCUUCACAGAAAAAUAAGAAAAUUCUUACAACAGGAGGUAACUGCCAAAAGGGAAUUGGUUUAGCAUCUAUAGGUGGCUGACAGCAUCGAUAGGAAAUUUCGGUCUGAACAUAAACAGUAAAAGUUUUGAGCUUCUAAUGUGGCAAAAAGCUAAAAUGAGCUACUAUUUUCCAAAAAUAGAAGCUUCAAUAUCAAGUUUCUGCAUCUGGGUGAAGCAUGCAGGAAGCUGUCUAACCAGUUUCAAUGUAAAAAAAAAAGAAAUCCCUUUAAGGCUUCUCGUAGCAGCUUAAUUCAACAGCACUUCCGCGGAAGCCCUAGUGAGGCUGAACAAGCCCAAAGCACUACACAAGAAGUAACUACCACUAAAGGCCUACCUUUCUUGCAGUUUCUGAAUCACUGAAAAGCUACACCAUUUUUAGUGUGUUUUCAAAUCAAUGCACCCGUUUUUCAGGUCGAAUAAUUUAGCACCAAAAAAAUUAAUAAAAAUUUCUCAAAAAAACGCAUGGUGCUAAGAAUAGUAAAUAUCUAAUCCAACUCAUCUAUAAACAGUACAAACAAAUAUCAAGACCAUGUAAGACGAGUGCGCAUUAAUUUUAACUUAAAUUUCAUAACUUUAUACAACGAUUCCAACCUCUCUCUCAAUCGAACGAAACCAACGAAAACAUUUACAUUUUUGUUCGGCAAAUCAAAACCAUCCAGACGACCAUCCCAUGCAACAAAAAAGGGCAAAAAGAGAGCCUAAAAAUCCAAUCUUUUAGCGAAAAUCCCCAAAACCCAUCCAAAAAAAACUCAUUAAAACACCAAUUUAAACCAAAAAAGUAAAAAUUCGCAACAGGGCACGAACCUCUGAGGUAUUGGAGAAGGGUGAGGUGAGCGAGCCCAUCGGGGAGCACGCGGCGCACGCCAUUGACGUAGAGGAUCGCCUCCUUCGACCACCCCUCCCCCACCACCAACUCCUCCUCCAUCUUCGUGAGAGAGCCCAUCCCUAACCUCUCGAAAUCGCCCCCCAAAACCAACGCUUCGAUCACCUCAAACAGGAUAUAGGAGAUGAAUAUACGAGGAGGAGGAGGAGGAGGAGAAGAAAAUCGUGGAGCUUAUCGCGGUUACUGCUUUUCAGAGAAGCGGGAGCAGCUACAGAAUCACAAGGUUUCGGAAAUUUGCGCUUUUUUUUUUUUAUUUUUAUUUUUAUUUUUUGGCUUGGAACUUGUUUUAUCUUUUGAAUAGUGAAACGGUUGCAUCCAUCGGUUUUUUAUUCGUUAACAAUUGCACGAUACCCCCUCAACUAUAGGUAAUUUUGAAUUAGGCUCCUCAACUGUAUAUUUAGGGCUCUUUUUGUAUUUAGCCUCCUAUAAAAAAAAUUUCUACAAAUAGUUCUAAAAAAUUAUAUUUACAAAAUUGAUCCUAUCCCCGUCACGUGAGCGUCGAUAACAAUGAAGGUUAAGUUGAAUAUGGUGAACCAUUCACCAUGUCCAAAUACGACGUUUGAGAGUCCUUCCUAAAUCUCAAAUUUCGUAUUUGGACAUGAUGAAUAAUUUGUUGUAUUCAACUUAAUCUAAAUUGCUGCUCACGUGGUGCUCGUAUGGAGCUCACAUGGCGGAGAUUGGACCAAUCUUGUAAAUAUAAAUUUUGUAAGGCUAUUUAUACAAAAAAAUUUCUAAAGGGACUAAAUGCAAAAAAACCAUUUUAACAUGUUUUAAGUUUUUUUUCAUCUUUGUUUGAGUCCCUUUAUUAGUGAAUUAAAUUAUAUUUUAAAAAAAAUCUUAAGCAAAUUUAUUAAAUAUUAUGAAACAACAAUUUAUCUCUAAAAAGUAAAGCUGCCCAAAAAUUAUAUCAUUAGUAUUUUACCCUCGACUAGAUUAAAAUAUCAAUAAAAAAAAAAGUUCUUGUUUGGCACUGUUUCCCUUUUUAAUUUUUUUUUAAACAGAUGAAAUAUUAUAGGAGAAAAUAACCAAUUGCUUAAAAUUCUUAUAUUUGAGCUACUUUGCUCGGCAAUAGAAAAAAAGAAAUUUGGAAGUAAUAUUUUUUGCGUCUAAAUUUUUUAUUAUUGUUAUUAUCUGUCACUUAAUCGAGAUACAUUAUAAGAUAAUCAACUAUAUAUAACAAUAAAAAAAGAAAUUUUCUACUAGUACAUCAAAUUAUAUAUAAUUAAUCUUUUUUAAAAAAUAAAAAAUUAUAUCAAUACCAACUAAAAAAGGUUUAAAAUAUAGUAAUUACAUGGAUAAUGUUGCGUUUUCAAUCAAUUAAAUUACUCUCCUGGAGCUAAGCCAUAACAUCAAAGUUUUUUGAAAAAUGUAGUAUUAUAUUUUCUCUCAAAAUAAAAAAUAUAAUAAAUUUGAAAUAGAUGAUGUACUUUGAUUGUCACAUAGUAUAGUAGAUAGAGUUGGUCAAUCAACUGGGUUCAAAGAGGAAUAUUUUUUUUAAUAGCCUUAGAAAAUACUUUAAUUAUAAAAAUAUUUUUCUAAAAAAUUUAUUUACAAAAGUAAGUUUAUACAGUAAAUGAAUUAUCGCUUUUUAAAUAUAUAUGAUAAAUUAUUCACCAUUUUUUUCAAAAGAUUAAAACUAUUUUUAGUGUUUAAUAAUAUACAUCUUUUAAAGUUUGGAUGUAAGAAAUAUAUAAAUUAAGAUAAAAGCGAUGAAUCAUUUACGAUUUUUAGAAUACAGCAAAUAAUUUACCGCGUUUAUCUGCUUAUUUUUACAAAUAAAAAUUUUGUAUGACUAUUUCUAUAUUUAAAAGAUUUUAUAAGCUUGGUAGUCUAAACUCCUUCAAAGAGGGUCUGUUUCAAAAUAAUUGAUAUUGGAGGGGCUUCUACGCGAUAAACUUCUACGCAAUUUUAUCGCUUUAUAUUUGUCUCUUUUGAAGGGAUUUUUCUUGUUUGGGUAUUUAAAAAUGCCGUCACCUUUUUUGGUUUGAAACUGGAAAGGUCGCGAGGAUGAGGAUUGAAAAACGUGACCGGAGUUUUCCGGGCUUUUUUAUAACAUAAUCCUUCAAAAUUUUAAAAUUUAGAAAAUGAGCCUGUCAAAAUUUUAUUUGAAAAAAUAAUCCUCUUUUCGCUAUGUGGGCACCACGUCGAAAUUUUGCUAUAAAAACGGUAAAUAAUUCACCGCUUUUAGUGCAAAACAUUCCAAACUAAUCGAAAUUUGUCUAAAUUUUGGAGUGAAAUAUAGAUAGACGGUGAAUGAUAAGACAGUGAAUCAUUCACCGUCUUCACAUAUAUAUUAUGAAGACGGUAAAUUAUUCACCGCUUUUAUUAUAUAUAUGUGAAGGCGGUGAAUCAUUCAUCAUCUUUAUAGCAAAAUUUCAAGGUAGCGCCCACAUGGCGAAAGGAGGAUUAGUUUUUCAAAUAAAAUUUUGACAGAAUUAUUUUGCCAAUUUUAAUUUUUUGGGAGGUCAUUUUAUAAAAAAGCCCGAGUUUCUCAAUGCAAGCUGUCCUGAAGGGAUUUUUUUCAAAAUAAUUCUAUAAAAUUUUGUAAUUGAGUAAAUAAUUCUAUAAAUUUUUUUUUAGCAGACUAGACCUUCUUUUGUCACGUAGAAGCGACAUUAAAAUUUUCUCUCAAAGACAGUGAAUGAUUCACCACUUCCAUAAAAACAGUGAACGAUUCACCGUCUUUCUAAGUUUCCACAAAAGUGGAGAAUUAUUUAUUGUAUUUCGCUUAUUUACUAUUUCUUUCUAUAUCUCAUACAAUUCUAACUAUCAAAUAAAAAUUCUAAUAAUCCACGUAUAAUCCUAACAACCUUACUUUUUUUUUAUAUUCCAUAUAAUUCACGUAUAAUUUUAAUGAAUACGGCGAACGGUACAAUGCCAUGAGAGAAUGCGGUGAACAAUUCACCGCCUUUAGAAGGCAUGAGACAUUGCGGUGAACGAUUCACCGCCUUUAAAUGACAUUUGGUAGGAUUAU